UCUUGUUUUAAUGCCGUAAAAUGUUAUCAUUUCCGGAAAGAAACGCUCGCUUCCGGCGAACAUGAAACCGAGGAACUUCAGUAUCUUCUAAUGAACGUCCGCUACGGUGAUACACGCGAAUAAGAUAGGACCAGUUGAGAGAAUGAAAAUGGCAAGUAAAAACAAUCUUUAACUCGUAGCUUUUUUUAUUUCAAAGAAUCUUAAUCACACUUGACGAUUCUCGAUCGCGAUCAAGAUGAAUCGAUAUACAGUAGCUCGCGUAACAGUCGAAGUUAGGUUAUAGCCGUUUUCAUUGUAACUGUUGAAUGGUCAACGAAAAUGGCGAAA